UUGGCGAGGUGUGAUUGGUUGGUUUUUAUUCCUUGUUCUCGUUUGUGGAGUGGAGAGAACACAACGCCACCAUCGCAUUCUCUUUUUUCUUUCUUUCCGCACUAUCUUUUCUCCAUAACUCUUUUUUAUUUCUCCUUGCAAAAAAAAUUUGAUUAUUAUUAUUGAUUUUAUUUAACUGUUGUUGUUGUUGUUGGAGGGUGAUCGUAGUUUAUGAGUGAGUGAGGUUAAUGGAAUGUGAAGAGUGACGGGACGGUGAUGAUAGUAUUGUUACGCGUGUAUGGAAUUCGAUGCCGCGAUUCCCGUGUCUCGAGAGCACUUACCUCAAGAUGCAAUGUGGCAAAUUAACUUGAGGUCAAGUGAAACAAUGGAAUCAGAACCUUAUCCUGAGCAUCCAGGAGAACCAGAUUGUUCAUACUACAUUAGGACUGGCCUUUGUAGAUUUGGAGCAACAUGUCGAUUUAAUCAUCCUCCUAACAGGAAGCUGGCUAUUGCCGCUGCAAGGAUGAAAGGUGAAUUCCCAGAAAGGAUAGGACAGCCAGAAUGCCAGUACUAUUUGAAGACAGGAACUUGCAAAUUUGGAGCCACAUGCAGGUUUCAUCAUCCUAGAGACAAGGCUGGGAUUGCUGGAAGAGUUGCCUUGAAUAUUUUAGGCUAUCCUCUCCGCCCAAAUGAACCAGAAUGUGGUUAUUAUUUAAGAACUGGACAAUGUAAAUUUGGGAACACUUGCAAAUUUCACCAUCCUCAACCAAACAAUAUGGUGCUUUCCAUGCGAAGUUCUCCUGUUUAUCCUACUGUCCAUUCUCCAACUACACCAGGUCACCAGUCAUAUGCGACAGGAAUUACAAAUUGGUCUAGUUCAUCGUAUAUUCCUAGCCCACGUUGGCAAGGCCCUUCAAGUUAUGCACCUUUAAUUCUACCUCAGGGAAUGGUUUCAGUGUCUGGGUGGAGUGCAUACAGUGGUCAAAUGGGAUCAGACAGUCCACAGCAAACAAUGGCAAAUGGCCAAAGCUAUGGAACUUCUCGACAAAGUGAACCAGCAAAUUCAGGAUCCCAGGGGGCAUAUUCUCAAUUUCGUUCUGGCUCUGUUCCUGUAGGGUUCUAUGCGUUGCAGAGGGAGAACAUAUUUCCUGAGAGACCUGAUCAGCCUGAAUGUCAAUUCUACAUGAAGACUGGAGAUUGCAAGUUUGGUGCAGUCUGUCGUUUCCAUCAUCCACAUGAAAGGAUGAUUCCUGCUCCUGACUGUGUUUUGAGUCCUAUAGGUCUUCCUUUACGUCCUGGAGAGCCCCUGUGUGUGUUCUAUUCACGUUAUGGCAUAUGCAAAUUUGGUCCAAGCUGCAAGUUUGAUCACCCAAUGGGAGUCUUCACCUAUAACAUGUCUGCAUCACCUUUAGCUGAUGCCCCAGGACGGCGUAUGUUAGGUUCUUCAUCAGGAACUUCUGCAUUAAAUUUAUCAUCAGAAGGACUUGUUGAGUCAGGCUCAGCAAAUCCAAGGAGGCUUUCAUUAUCAGAAACUCGACAGAUACCUUCUGGUGAUGAUAACAUUGAUGAAGAGGGAUAAUGAUGUCUCUUGGAAAUGGGUCAUUUGCUUGUUACAAAUUUUUUUCAGGGGAGAAAAAGGGUUUGAAAUUCAGUGCAAAGACUUUUCUUUAUGCUGUCUACUGUGCAUACAUAGAAAUCUUUUUCUACAGCAAACCAACAAAUUCGUUUUGCAGAAGUUGAAGGAAAAGAGUCUAAGCUGUGAACUUUGGUGGUGGCAGCAGAAGCUUGUUAAUUUUACGCUGUUUUUCAGAUGUCAAGCCUCAACACAAAUGUGACUUCUGUUCUUGUAGGGUUUAGGCUACAAAUUACUUAUUACAUGCUUCAAUUAAUGGUGUGGGUGGAUGGUCCUUUCCGGCUUAGAGUUCGAUUAACAGUUCACAUGCUAAAUCAUGGUUGGGAGUUUAAAUCUUUUCUUGAGGCUUUACUAAAAGCAUCAUUUCAGUGGCUGAAUAUAGAUGUAUUUGAUGCAUUGCUCGCUGAUUCUAGUAUGUGUUAUCGAUAUGCUUUCACAGUCUUGUGCUAUCACCCAAAUCUUGAGACGCGUGAUUUACUGUGCUGGAUUGCUAGUUUUCUGAAUCAGAAAAGAAUAAGGGAGUGUUCUUACUAUUUUAAAAAACUUCAGUUCUCAAAAAAUUAUAAAAAUAAAAGAACUUGUUUGAUUGACCUGUUUUAUUAUUAGUGCGUUUUGUUCCACAUUCCUGAUGUGCUUUUUCGAGUGAGAAGUUAAUAGUUAUAGCUUUCAUAUUUUUUUUGUGGAAUGGACGUGGUUUUUGGCUUCUGGAUGAGUUUUCAAACACACUAUUGUUUAUAACUAGUUUUUGUCUUAAUAUUUCAUGGUGA